rnacentral:rRNA from 1 species
GACGAACGCUGGCGGCGUGCUUAACACAUGCAAGUCGAACGGAAAGGCCCUGCUUUUGUGGGGUGCUCGAGUGGCGAACGGGUGAGUAACACGUGAGUAACCUGCCCUUGACUUUGGGAUAACUUCAGGAAACUGGGGCUAAUACCGGAUAGGAGCUCCUGCUGCAUGGUGGGGGUUGGAAAGUUUCGGCGGUUGGGGAUGGACUCGCGGCUUAUCAGCUUGUUGGUGGGGUAAUGGCUUACCAAGGCUUUGACGGGUAGCCGGCCUGAGAGGGUGACCGGCCACAUUGGGACUGAGAUACGGCCCAGACUCCUACGGGAGGCAGCAGUGGGGAAUAUUGCACAAUGGGCGGAAGCCUGAUGCAGCAACGCCGCGUGCGGGAUGACGGCCUUCGGGUUGUAAACCGCUUUCGCCUGUGACGAAGCGUGAGUGACGGUAAUGGGUAAAGAAGCACCGGCUAACUAUGUG